GCCAGGCGUAGUGGCGGGCGCCUGUAGUCCCAGCUACUAGGGAGGUUGAGGCAGGAGAAUCACUUGAACUGGGGAGGCAGGGGUUGCAGUGAGCCGAGAUCAUGCCACUGCACUCCAUCCUUGGUGACAGAGUGAGACUCCGUCUCAA
rnacentral:SRP_RNA from 1 species